CGGACACCGACCGGAGGGGACUGUGCCUUCCAGCCCUGCGUCACCCGAGGCAAGGCCCGCGCCUGCUGCCUUGGCUUGCAACUCGGGAAAGUUCUCAGGCUUCCCCAGCUUGCACUGGCACCCUCACCUUUCCUGCCUGGACAAGCUGGCGACCUCCCGGUCCUCCUUUCAAAUUCUGCUGGUCUCGAAAUCUGCUGUGGGCAUGGAACGCCUCAGCUCUAGCUAGUCCUGGUAACCGACCUCACUCACUCCUCAGGGCUAACUGUGGAUCAUUCAUUUCAUCGCAAGCGAGGUAACCUGUGCACUGAGCAAGUCGAUGGUGGUUCUCGGGGAAACCAAGCGAAGGAAGCUCCCCCACCCACCUUGUCCCGGUGGCUAAACGCAGACGUGGACAUCCCACCCGGCCCCCUCCGGCUACACCUCAGCCAAGCGUAAGCUCGAGGGAAGGACUCUUCUCUGGAGGCGUUCACCUUGCCAACAGGUGUGGCACCCGAAAGAAGAGCCAUCACAUCCCCACGA
rnacentral:lncRNA from 1 species